rnacentral:rRNA from 1 species
UACGUAGGUGGCGAGCGUUGUCCGGAUUUACUGGGCGUAAAGAGCGCGCAGGCGGUCGUGCAAGUCGCGUGUGAAAGCCCCCGGCUCAACUGGGGAGGGUCACGCGAUACUGCUCGACUCGAAGGCAGGAGAGGGAAGUGGAAUUCCCGGUGUAGUGGUGAAAUGCGUAGAUAUCGGGAGGAACACCAGUGGCGAAGGCGACUUCCUGGCCUGUUCUUGACGCUGAGGCGCGAAAGCUAGGGGAGCGAACAGG